UGUCAAUUGUUUUUCUCUCUCUUCUCUCUUUUCUCUCUCUCGUACUCUCUCUUUUCUCACCAUCCUCACUAACACUCUCAUCUCUCUUUAACCUCAACCAUUCCCAAUCUCUUUCUCUCUGCCCUCUCCCAUCUAAUCCUAACCUCCACCACCAUCUACAAAUCAAUCACUCGUGAGAGUGAUUUUUUGCCGAGUGAAAGAAGAUUUGCCGGCGGGAGAGAAGUUCCGGCGAGGAGGAGGAGUUCCGGCCGAGAGAAUUCUUGUGGCGGUGACACGGCGGUGCUUGGCGACGGCGGCGGUGCUUGGCGACGGCGGCGACGAUUUCUCAUUCUUUCCUCUAGCUCCAUGGAAGGAUAAGGCUCCUCCAGAACUCCAUCUUCCUCCAAGCUAGCCAAAUCUGGUGGUGGCAAGCAGAAGAAGAAGCUUAUCAUUGAAGGUUCUCAGGCCACAGCAAAGCAGACAGCAGAGUUGCUUCGGUCUGUGAUUUCACAGCAAAGGGUGCCUCAAACAAACCAGGCUACAGCUCUGAUUAAUGCAGUAAGGGCUGUGGGGGAGAAGCUUAUCACUGCUAACCCUGUUGGAAGUUUAUCCAAACAUAAAUUCUCUUGCUUUGUUUUUGAAUAUUGAGGUUAAUCCACGGCCUGAUGAGAAUAGUGAGGGAGGCAUAAUUGUUGAAAUUAAGGUAAAAGAGUUGGAUCAGAAGACAGCUGAAGUCAAUACUAAAUGGAGUAUUGUUCCUGGACGAGGAGGGUAUCCCACCCUGGCCUCACUUCAACCUGGCGGAACUAUUGUUUUUGAGCAUCGGAAUCUUCAAGGACUGAAUAGAGCUUGAAAAAAGAUGGUGCAGCUGAUUUUAUGAUAAUUGAAUGAGUGAAAGCUUGUAGGUUUCAAGAGAUAAAGGGUGGAGUUUGAUCUAGCUUGAAGGUUUUGAUCAUCUCUUAUAAGAGUGUGGCAUGGACAAGGAAGGUGGAGAUAAAUAAUGCUCGCUAGAUUGAUGAAAUAUUUGAUGCAAUAAGUUAUAGAAAAGGUGCAUCUGUUAUUAGGAUGCUGCAAAGCUAUCUUGGUGCUCAAUGCUUUCAGCUCUUGAAAAGCUAUUGAAAGAACACACUGGGAGGUUUGCCACUGGAGAUGAAGUUUUCAUGGCAGAUAUAUUUUUAGCACCUCAGAUACACUCUGCAUUUAAGAAAUUCAACAUUGACAUGUGUAUGUGCAGUGAGUACAAUCAGAUAAAUACCCUAUAUGCCGCCAAGCUAUCGAGGAGCUUAUAGAGAUCAAGAUAAACAAUGGCGACGACCAAUGACAUCUUUUGCCCUGAAGCCAAGCUGAAUUAAGUGGAUAGUUUUGUUUUUUUAUGUUUUAUUCACUUUAUGUAAAUUGCAGCCAAUAAUCUGUUUAUAGCUCAUAUGUAUUGUUAUUAUAAUCAAUAAAAAAAUAGAUUAUAUGUCGUUAUCCUGUUGCUGAAUGUUACUCCUGCUCAUUUAAAUUGUAUAGGUGAUUGUUUUGUUUUGGUCUGUGUGUGAUAUUUAAGAGAGGAUCAUUAUUCAUUUGUAUUGUGUAGAUCUGAUUUGAUCACUGGAUGACUUCUUUGUAAUGUAUCUUGAAGGUGAAGGUUCCUCUACUGUAUUAUGUUUGAAAGUUAUCAUAGGGAUCUUU